UGUAGCUCAGCAGCAGAGCACAUGCCUAGCAUGUGCAAGGUCCUGGGUUCAAUUCCCAGCA
rnacentral:tRNA from 1 species